rnacentral:rRNA from 1 species
UACGGAAGGCAGCAGUGGGGAAUAUUGCACAAUGGGCGCAAGCCUGAUGCAGCCAUGCCGCGUGUAUGAAGAAGGCCUUCGGGUUGUAAAGUACUUUCAGUCGUGAGGAAGGUGUUAAGGUUAAUAACCUUAGCAAUUGACGUUAGCGACAGAAGAAGCACCGGCUAACUCCGUGCCAGCAGCCGCGGUAAUACGGAGGGUGCGAGCGUUAAUCGGAAUUACUGGGCGUAAAGGGCACGCAGGCGGUUAAUUAAGUUGGAUGUGAAAUCCCCGGGCUUAACCUGGGAAUGGCAUUCAAGACUGGUUAGCUAGAGUCUUGUAGAGGGGGUAGAAUUCCGAUGUGUAGCGGUGAAAUGCGUAGAGAUGUGGAGGAAUACCGGUGGCGAAGGCGGCCCCUGGACAAAGGCUGACGCUCAUGUGCGAAAGCGUGGGGAGCAAACAGGGAUUAGAUACC